AAAACUUUCAACAACGGAUCUCUUGGCUCUGGCAUCGAUGAAGAACGCAGCGAAAUGCGAUAAGUAAUGUGAAUUGCAGAAUUCAGUGAAUCAUCGAAUCUUUGAACGCACAUUGCGCCCGCCAGCACUCUGGCGGGCAUGCCUGUCCGAGCGUCAUCA
rnacentral:rRNA from 1 species